GGAUUGACUAGAAGGUAAGCUAUAUGUUGGCUUUGUAUGGGGUUCACAACCUCCAUUCUUGUAGUAAUAAAUUUUUCUCUUGGCCGACGGCCCGGCUGCGGCGAUUUCAAUGAUGUGGAAGAGAGGAAGAGUUAUGUGGAUCAGAUGGUUUGCUACUGCAGAUAAUCUCAUUUCAUUUUCCUUCUUCUCCGCCAUCUUCUUAUCAUGCUCCAGCCAGUUAUUUUGCUCUGCAAGAGACACCAUAACACCUAGCCAACCCAUCUUCGACAGAGGAGUAGAACGAGAUACUCUAGUUUCCACCGGAGGAAUAUUCGAAUUAGGUUUCUUCACUCCUGGUGAUGAUUUCACCAAUGGUAUCUCUACCAACAAAAGAUACUUGGGGAUAUGGUAUCAUGGGUUGUCUCCUCGAUCAGUUGUUUGGGUUGCCAACAGAAACCAACCAAUCUUAGAUAGACAAGGAGUGUUCCAAAUAGGCCAGGACGGGAAUCUUAAUCUGCUAGAUAAACUAGAAGGAAAAGUUGUUUGGUCCUCGUCGAAGGUUUCAUCAGCUGCGACUGCUAAUACAACUGCUAAGCUUUUGGAUACCGGGAACUUCAUCUUGAGCGGAGGGGAUCAAGCUCCUAUAUGGCAGAGCUUCAUUUACGAUGAAGCUAACCCAUCCAAUACAUUCCUCCCAGGAAUGAAGCUCGAAGUAAACCAGAAGCUACAGUCAUGGAUUGAUGAAUAUGACCCAGCUUAUGGAGACUUCAUCUUUGAACGUUCAGGUCCAAAUCAGUUCACUAUCAAGAACAGGUCGACGCUUUACUGGAGAAGCGGAUCGUCGGAGGAUUUCUCUGUCUUGGAAGAGAUGCCGAAAUCAGUGCUCAACUUGCUACUAAACUACACGAGUGUCAAAAGAGACAGUCUUAGGAAAUUCGACAAUAACUCGAGACUGGUAAUUGACCCAUCUGGCCAAAUCAAGCAUUUGACCAAGGAUAACAAUAGCUGGAGUCUGUUAUGGUUCCAGCCCAGCGACGAUUGCAGCGUUGUCAGAGCCUGUGGUCCUAACGGUGUUUGCAACAGCAGUAGUACACCGGUCUGUUCAUGUUUGCCGGGGUUCAACCCCAAAGAGUCGGAGGAAUGGAAUUCCGGCAAGUACUCCAAUGGGUGCACGGGAAACACAGAAGAAUGUAAAGAGAUGAACUUCUUUUCUCUGUACUUUUCCAGAGUGAGAAUACCCGAGUCAUCAUACCCGGAAUCUGAGAAUGAGAAAAGUUGCAGAGACGAGUGCCUUGACAAGUGCUGCUAUGCUUACUCUUAUUCAUUUGAACCUUCCCUGCGCCUGCCUGAAGAAGCAUCCCCGAGCUCUUUGGGAACUCAUUCGUGCUGGAUUUGGAGUUCAAGUGACAACCUAAUAGAUCUUCAGGUGGACAAUUCCUAUACUCAGGUUGAUAGGAGGAGAAAGCUUUACUUUCGUGUGGCUAAUUUCGAUUCAGGAAGACGGUGCAGUGCAAACUUUAGGUGGGAUCCAACAGUUGCGAAUUGCAUUCCAGAUGCUGCUCAAGAAAGCCAUUCCCCUAGGAAGCAAUUGAUAUUUAUAGUUGUUAUACCCAUAACAGCUGUGAUAAUUUUCUCUUGCAUAGUUACUUUCCUCUGUUGUUUGAGGAGGAUAGUUAAAGGAAAAGGUUACAGGGAAAACAUUCAACCAACUUCUGCUUUUCAUUUGGAUGAAAGUGGGGAACGUCCUUCAGACAUCCUAGAUUCAGAAGAGUUUAUAGAAGAUGAUAAAAAAGGCAUAGGUGUACCGUUUUUUAAUUUUGAAACCAUAGCAGCAGUUACUGAAAAUUUCUCUGAUUCAAAUAAACUUGGACAAGGAGGAUUUGGACCUGUCUACAAGGGUCAAUUGCCAGGAGGACAAGAAAUAGCUGUAAAGAGGCUCUCAAGGAGUUCUGGACAAGGUCUAGAGGAAUUCAAGAAUGAGGUUCUCUUGAUUUCCAAACUUCAACAUAGGAAUCUUGUUAGACUUCUGGGUUACUCCAUCAAAGGAGAUGAGAAAAUACUACUUUAUGAAUACAUGCCUAACAAGAGUUUGGACAGCUUUAUCUUUGAUCAAACGCAUCGUUUGUUAUUGAAUUGGGAAAUGUGCUUCAACAUCAUAAUGGGAAUUGCUCGCGGACUUCUUUAUCUUCACCAAGAUUCAAGGUUGAGAGUUAUCCACAGAGAUCUGAAAACAAGUAAUAUUCUUUUGGAUGAGGAGAUGAACCCCAAAAUUUCAGACUUUGGCCUGGCAAGGAUCUUUGGUGGUAAGCAGACUGAAGGGAAUACCAGCAGAGUAGUUGGAACAUAUGGAUAUAUGUCUCCAGAGUAUGCAUUAGAUGGUCUUUUCUCAAUUAAAUCAGAUGUCUUCAGCUUUGGGGUGGUACUACUUGAAAUCAUCAGUGGCAAGAAGAAUACAGGUUUUUACCAGUCAGAACACACAUUGACCCUUCUGGGAUAUGCAUGGAAACUAUGGAAAGAAGGCAAGAUGUUGGCUUUGACAGACAAGUCAUUAUGUGAAUCAUGCAAUGCAUUUGAAGUUACUAAAUGCAUCCAUGUUGCACUCUUGUGUGUACAAGAAGAGGCUGAUGAUCGCCCAACCAUGUCAAAUGUUGGAACAGAGCAAUGGACUCCCCACCAAGCGUGACCCACAGCCACAGGCGCCCCACAAUCCAUCCCCGUGCACUGGUCCGUUCUUGUCAUGGGAGAUGUUCCCAAAUCACGGAAGGGAUGGGCUGUGGGUGGGGCACGCGGUAAGACAUCAAUCAAUCAGAGGCAAGACCACUCAACCGUCUCAACGUACUCAGUUGCACCAAAGCAGCAUCUCCUGCCUGGAGACAGCAAGAGUGAGACUGAGACAUGGCUUCCAAAAAGAGGUCUAAAGCCCCAGAUUAGCCAAGACUGUGCGCGAAUGGAUGUGGGUUUUUUUGGGACACCGGCAAAUUAGAACCUCUGUUCUAAGUGUUACAGAGACCAUCUCCGCAGUAACCAGAAGGAUCAGUAUGCAAGUGCCAUGGCGGAGAUUAGGGAACGUGACCACCCAAUCGUCUCUUUUUCUGUUAUUCCAUCUUCAUCUUCGCCGUCGCCACCACCUUCAACGACAUCUUCUUCAUCUUCUUUUGCAUCCUUAGUGGGUUCGAAAGCAUCGUCUAACCGUUGCUCAGGUUGCAGCAAGCGUGUGGGGUUACUGGAUUUCACCUGCAGGUGUGGGAGCACAUUCUGCUCGCUGCACCCCUAUCCAGAAGAGCAUGAUUGCAGCUUCGAUUUCAAGACUGCAGGGAGACUUGCCAUAGCUGAGGUUAAUGCAACAAUCAAGGCCAACAAGCUACAGUAUAGAACUUAAAUGGAAUUUGUUCCUUCUUUCUUUCUCAUCACGACUAGGAGGGUUCUUACGAUUUGACAUUGGUCUGCUCAUUGUUCCCAUGUUCUUGAAGUAUAGCAACUGAAGAAGCUAAGGUAUAGAAGAAGAAAAAGAUUUUGUUUUUCUAAAGAACUCGGCUCCAUGUGGUCAUAAGAAUGUGACAGAAGGCAUGCAAGUCCACUUCAAAAUUGAAGUUCCAGGCUGAAGACAGCAUAGCAGUAACAAGAUUGAUUUCUAGGCUCUGUUUAUUUGCAAUGCAAUUUCAUAUGUACUAGCACAAAUGGAUGGGGGUGAAAAUGAGAAUUUGCUAUUUUUGCUUCUGGUUUUACUUCAUUCAGCUUUAGUUUUUAUU